AAGUGGUUUUGCGUGCAGCUUCAUGCCAGCGAAAGUAUGGACUUCUACGCUUUGCAAGACACGCUCUUGCGCAAUGCCAAGAGCGGGGGCAGCUCUGACACCGUCGACGUCGAGUCGAGGUACGUCUUGAUGGAGAAAAUCGGCUCUGGCUCUUAUGGCGAUGUCUGGAGCGCGACGCGGCGCACAGGGACGAAGGACAUCUACGCGGUGAAGCGCAUCGACAAGCGUCAGGCGGGCACCAAGGGACUGCGGAGCGUCAUGGGGGAAGUGGAGACGAUGAGCCUUCUUUCUCAUCCCAAUAUCGUCAAGCUCGAGGAGACGUAUCAAGACGAAGCGUGCCUAUCAAUUGUGAUGGAGUACCUUCCUGGUGGUUCCCUUCAGCACCGCAUAGACCGGCAAAACGUGUCUGAGCUGGAGACGCGGCGCUUCAUCACGCAGCUGUUGAUGGCUGUGGAGUACAUUCAUGAAAAGGGUAUCGUCCACCGCGAUUUGAAGCCGAGCAACUGCCUACUAUCUCAAAACGACCUCGUCGUAAAGAUAUCAGACUUCGGGCUCUCCGUGUUUGCCGGCAAUAAGCAAUGCUUGACGACGUGCUGUGGCACGCUGCACUUCAUGGCACCCGAGAUUCUGCUAGAGAAGAACUACGGCAAGCCGGUGGACAUGUGGGCCAUGGGCGUCAUGGCACACGUGAUGUUUUUAGGUCGUUACCCAUUUCAGGCCCGUACAGAGGCGGCGCUGACGAAGGACAUCUGCCGCGGGUAUCGUCCGCGGGAGGAGGGUGGUGGUGGGCUGCGAUGCCCACCACUGCUACAAGACUUUAUCAGUCAACUUCUCCUUUACGACCCACUCCGUCGAAUGAGCGCCAAAGACGCUCUCAAGCACCCAUGGAUCAAGGAAGGCUUAGACGCCAACCGGCGGACGUCCCUCUACCCGUCACAGGCACCCUCGGCGACAGCGAUGAAACCAUCUGCGCGGUGGCGAGCAGCGGCGCUUGCAGUCAUGGGCGUGCAGCGGCUUCUCUACCUGCAGAAAAUUCAGCGGCUAGUGCGGCUCGGUUAUGACGGCUUUCCGAUUUUGCGUGACUACCGUUACCUCGUAACCGGCAAGUAUGUACCUGCGAGCACCUCUGUAGAGUGUAGUCACAUGUUCCACGCUCGACCGAUGGCGCUGCUCGAGUUGAUCUCCAUGAUAGAUACGUGCCCGUUCCUGAAACAUGUAGAUCUUAGCUGGAAUAACAUUCACAGCUUAUCUGUAAUCCAGGCGCUGCUCAAGGUGGUGACACGACACCCUUCGCUGCAAUCUAUUGACCUGUCUCACAAUCCCAUCCCGGCCGUGGCAGGGCGUUCCAUCGUGCGGCUGAUCCGCAACCCGCUUUCACAGGUGACAUGCAUCAACGUCGGCGACACCGGAAUCAGUGCCGACACCAUUGGGCAGAUAAACUCCUUUUUAAAGGAGAAGCUGACCCCUGCCGCGCUGUCGUACAGCGUCUCCACCGGAGACAUGCAAAGCCGACUCACCCAGGGUAGUGGCGAUGACACGCUGAUGACGUCAUCGUCCACUACGGUGAGCUCCUUGCAGCAAAAGCGUAGCAUUUGUAGUGGGCCACCCAAGCAGCCCGCGAAGAAAGAAUCGCGCGGCGUGCGGCUGCCCCCGAUUUCACGUCCACCAGUGGCUAGGCGCCAUGGGAAGAUGCCUUAGAUCAUGCGAGAGUAGAACGUGCGAGGACGAGGGGGGCAAACGCUUUCGCAUACGGGCAUGCCAAAUAUUUCUGCCUUCCUCUUAUGCUUGUCCACUUCUCUUAAGGUAUGUCGCUCUUCUUUUCCCUCCUCUCGCUCCCCAACACGUGUCGUCAUGCACAGUGUGACAGAGUGGCUCCCUUGAUUUGUUGCUCCUGCCUAUGUGUUUAUAUGGACGCAUCUCGAUGCCUCUUCUCUGCGCCUCCUGUUCCGAUGUCCGAUGAAGCGCGUCGGUUUCCAUACGCGUUACGACAUUGUCUGCACACUCCGUUGUACUUUCCCGUUUCCUUGUCCUCUUUGAGGGAAUGGUGCGCAGCGCCGCGGGUCUCUUUUUGUUCUUCUUAGCGCCUCUUGUAUUUUCGGCGCAGAAGCGUGCGUCAUCGCUGUUCUGACCCUCUCUCGCUUUCAUCUCCCCUCCCUCAUUCACCACUGAUGUUAUCCAGCACGGCGAUGACUGUGACGUGACAUGCGUGCCCGUUCGUUUUCUACUUCUUUGCACUUGCUUGUCGACCUCCUCUUUCUGUCCGCUUCUCUCUCGGUCUCUCGUGCCCGUCCCUGUUUCGCCUAGCGGCCGCCGCACGGACGCCAUGACAUCCCCUUCCGUCCUCCUCGUUUUUCUUUUCUGCUUCGUGUGAAACGCGUGCCUCAUUUUGGUUUCUUCUUUCCCGUCUACUACUUUUCUGUUUCCCUUGGUAGGACGACGAGCGACGAGACCCCGCCCCUUUCUUGUUUGCACGAGGUCGCAGAAGAGGGGACGUGCGGAGUGCGGGAAAGGGGGAGGGGAGAGCACAGGAGGACAAGACGACUCUCGCCGUCGCGAUAAUGUAAUCAUGUACAUGACGAGCGAGUAAUAUUGACUUCAUGAGCUGCUGCAGUGUGUUGGCUUUCUUUUUCCCCUCCCUCCUUUUCUUUGCCACUCUGUUCUCUGGUGAAGUUACUCAUACACAACAAGUCGUGUUUUAUGCG
rnacentral:misc_RNA from 1 species